GACGAACGCUGGCGGCGUGCUUAACACAUGCAAGUCGAACGGAAAGGCCCUGCUUUUGUGGGGUGCUCGAGUGGCGAACGGGUGAGUAACACGUGAGUAACCUGCCCUUGACUUUGGGAUAACUUCAGGAAACUGGGGCUAAUACAGGAUAGGAGCUCCUGCUGCAUGGUGGGGGUUGGAAAGUUUCGGCGGUUGGGGAUGGACUCGCGGCUUAUCAGCUUGUUGGUGGGGUAGUGGCUUACCAAGGCUUUGACGGGUAGCCGGCCUGAGAGGGUGACCGGCCACAUUGGGACUGAGAUACGGCCCAGACUCCUACGGGAGGCAGCAGUGGGGAAUAUUGCACAAUGGGCGGAAGCCUGAUGCAGCAACGCCGCGUGCGGGAUGACGGCCUUCGGGUUGUAAACCGCUUUCGCCUGUGACGAAGCGUGAGUGACGGUAAUGGGAAAAGAAGCACCGGCUAACUACGUG
rnacentral:rRNA from 1 species